CUACGGGAUGCAGCAGUGAGGAAUAUUGCACAAUGGGGGGAACCCUGAUGCAGCAACGCCGCGUGGAGGAUGACGCAUUUCGGUAUGUAAACUCCUUUUAUAUGUCAAGAAAAUGACGGUAGCAUAUGAAUAAGCACCGGCUAACUCCGUGCCAGCAGCCGCAGUAAUACGGAGGGUGCAAGCGUUACUCGGAAUCACUGGGCGUAAAGGACGCGUAGGCGGGUUGGAAAGUCAGGUGUGAAAUCCUACAGCUUAACUGCAGAACUGCACUUGAAACUUCUAAUCUAGAGUAUGGGAGGGGGAGAUGGAAUUAGUGGUGUAGGGGUAAUAUCCGUAGAUAUCACUAGGAAUACCUAAAGCGAAGGCGAUCUCCUGGAACAUUACUGACGCUAAGGCGUGAAAGCGUGGGGAGCAAACAGGAUUAGAUACCCGCGUAGUC
rnacentral:rRNA from 1 species